CAUCCUUUGACCACUCUAGAGAUAGAGCUUUCCCUUCGGGGACAAAGUGACAGGUGGUGCAUGGUUGUCGUCAGCUCGUGUCGUGAGAUGUUGGGUUAAGUCCCGCAACGAGCGCAACCCUUAUUGUUAGUUGCCAUCAUUUAGUUGGGCACUCUAGCGAGACUGCCGGUGACAAACCGGAGGAAGGUGGGGAUGACGUCAAAUCAUCAUGCCCCUUAUGACCUGGGCUACACACGUGCUACAAUGGGAAGUACAACGAGUCGCUAGACCGCGAGGUCAUGCAAAUCUCUUAAAGCUUCUCUCAGUUCGGAUUGCAGGCUGCAACUCGCCUGCAUGAAGCCGGAAUCGCUAGUAAUCGCGGAUCAGCACGCCGCGGUGAAUACGUUCCCGGGCCUUGUACACACCGCCCGUCACACCACGAGAGUUUGUAACACCCGAAGUCGGUGAGGU
rnacentral:rRNA from 1 species